rnacentral:lncRNA from 1 species
AUGCCGUCCGAUUAUGAUUCUUCUUCUUCUUCUCCGCUUGAUUCCGAUUCACCUGAAACAAAUGUUUCUGGGUAUGCCAAUUCUUUUACUCCUCUGCAUAUGCAUCAUCACUUACAUAUUUUACAUACAGCUUCUGUUAAUUGUUAUAUAUGAUUUUUAUUUAAGUUGGUUUUUGUUUAUCACUUAUUUCUGCUUGUACAGAUAAUCAUAAACAUAAUUUGAGACAGGGUUUGAUUUGUAGUUACCACUUACUUGAUCUUUCUGGCAAUCAGAAAUUGCUGCCUUGGGCUUAGAGUAUGAUAUGAUAUCCAACUUCAUCAGAGUGCUUAGUAGUGUACUGUGUUUUGCAAGUCGAAAAAAGAAAUUCUCGGAUUUAUGGCGAUUAGUUUUCAAAAUCCCUGCUGCUUUAUGAUCAUCUUUCAGUGUUUGGAAAAAAAAAAAAUUUGAUUCAAUUUACAUUAGAUCUCGACAUGAUAAAUUCUGAUUGUUAUUAUACAGUUUCUUGAAUUGUUAUGAUAGAUUUUUUGUCAUUGUGAA